CCCCUAGACGUUCUGGGCUGCACGCGCGCUACAAUAAUACGCACAGCGAGUAUCACCGAGCUCGAAAGGGCAAGGUAAACAAUAGAAAAGGUACUGUAAUGGUUAUAGAUCCUUGUAAUUAUUGAUCUUCAACGAGGAAUUCCUAGUAAGUAUGUGUCAUCAUCACGCACUGAUUACGUCCCUGCCCUUUGUACACACCGCCCGUCGCUCCUACCGAUUGAGUGAGCCGACGAAACUGCCGGAUGUGGACUAUUCAUAGUCUGCAGAAGAUAUUUGAAUCGUAGCGCUUAGAGGAAGGAGAAGUCGUAACA
rnacentral:rRNA from 1 species